AUUUGAGAUCGGUAUCGAGAGGACGAGAGUCUGUGAUUGGACACGGGACAGGACAGAGUACCUGGAUCAUAUUUUCCUGUUUAUUUUCAGCGCAGCUGUCCGGUGUGUCUCAGUUGCGAGUAGUUAAGCCACAGACGUCUCUGUUUAGACAGUAUGUUCGAGACGUUAGUGCAGCGCCGGAUGUGGGUCGUGAACAUGGACGUGUCAUUUUCCCCACACGUUAUAUUUCCCAGGCAGUCAUCCGCUACGGAGUAUAAGACGCACCACCUGAAUCCUGAGACAAUCUUCAUACGUGCGGUUUCAUUAAGAUAGUGGGUUUAUUUAUCUGACAUAAUGAUUACCCUGCGUCUAAAACAGACACGGACCGUGCUAGCACAGCUACAGUGGGAUUUUCCGUGUAAUUAGUGCCAAUAACUACCAUAAAUGCUGGAGUAGUACACCCUACCGUAAGAACACUAAUAAAUAUUGCAAUCAGGCUAAUGGGAAAAUGAUAACGUCCUCUGAUUUGCAUUAUAAGUUGCAGCAGAUGCUAAAGGGCAAAAAAACAUGUUUAUCGUCCGGAAAAUACAGCAUGUGCAUUCGAAGAUGCACAAUUAACUGUAAUUACGCCUCGGCGGCUUUUGUUUCUUUGUCUCCCAGCUGAAACUCUUUCUGAGAGAAACAAAAGGAGAGUGGAAAUAAAGAGAGAGAGAGAGAGAGAGAAUGAGAGACGGUAGAUUUUUGCUUUCAAUUAGAAAGGUUUUGAAGCACUUUUGUUCCAGAGGAAGCUUCCAGACAUUAAAAAAAAAAAAAAAACAAGCAGUAUCACCAGGUGACCCUUCUUUCUGGGUUUUUUUUUUUUUUUUUUUUUUUUGGUGUGUGCAUGUUUUUUAUAUAUCUUGGUAGGGACAUUAUAGGAAUAUCUCAGUUUUGACCUUACGGGACAGUUGACAGGACCCCACAAGUUUUUAUUAAAGCUACGUAGGGCUUUUAUUUAAAUAAAUAAAUAAAUAAAUAAAAAGGUUUCCAAAAAUGAAGGUUUAAGGUUAGGGUUAGGUUUAGGUGUAGCAUAGCAUUAAUUAGCUGCAUUAAUAAUUAUGUCAAUGGAAGGUCCUUACAAGGAUAGUAAGACAGACACGUGUUGUGUGUGUGUGUGUGUGUGUGUGUGUGGAUUCGUGUUUGUGUGAACUUUCCCCCAGAACAAUGCUUCAGGCACGGCUUUCAUCUCAGCAGUAACCUGUGGACUGCGUGACUCGAGGCGAUGCAAUUGCAGCUUUGUCAGUAACACUACUAAUUAGAAAAUUCCUGACCUCGAGCGAAAUGUUUAAUUAUGUGUUGUGUCAACGAGUUUGCAGAGUUAAUCCAGCCUGGAUACACACUCCAGUGCAUGCGAGACAAAAAAACAAAACAAAAAAAACAACAAAACAACAAAAAAACCACUAAGACUAACCUUGUGCUCCAGUAGCCGGUCGAGACGGCGACGGAGACCGAGACGACUGACGCUACAACUCCGGGGCUCAGACGGAGAACGGGGCGGAAAGCGGUGUCUGUUUGAGGCUAAACAAUGUGACAGACUAAGAGAGAGAGAGAGAGAGAGAGAGAGCUCGCUCAGAGGCGGUGAUUCUCAGGCGCGAAAGGCAGGAAAGGGUUAAAGAGAAAUUGAGCGGGGCUGCUGGGGGGCAGCGGCACUGCAGAACAUGGCAGUGUUCGUGCGAAGGCAAGUCAUUUCCCGAAACACUGCAGACACAGCGCCCGAGGCACUGCGAAACCUUUGGAGACCAAAAUGGCUUGCAGGAGUUAGAAGUAAUAAGGUGUUUUUUUUUUUUUUUUUUUUUU
ensembl:lncRNA